rnacentral:rRNA from 1 species
GAGGAAUGUAUAGCAAUAGCUACUUGCAUCAUAGUUAAUAUGAUGCAAGCUCGACUAAGUUGAAUAAAAUUCUAGGUAGAAUUAUGAUAAUGACAUUGUCUGCCUAUGUGUCUUGACCAAAUUACGUGCCAGCAGUCGCGGGAAUACGUAGAAGACUAGUGUUAUUCAUGUUUAAUCGGUUUAAAGGGUACCUAGACGGUGAAUCAAGCUUUGGUGUAAAUAAUAAAAACCAUAUUGUAUAAGACCUAUAUUUGAGAUACAUAUUUACAUAUGAUAAGGACUAAUUUACUAGAGUUACUUACGAGGGGGUAUUAAAGUACUGCUGGUGUAGAGAUGAAAUUCUGUCAUACCUCUUUUCGAAAGAAAAAUCAUGGCACAGGUAUAGGCGAAGGCAUCCCCUUAUGGGCUAACUGACGUUGAGGGACGAAGGCUUCAUGUAACAAACAGGAUUAGAUACCCUAGUAGUUGAAAGCAGAAAAUGAUGAAUGUCAUAGAUUAGAUAUAUAAGUUUAUUCUAUAAAUGAAAGUGUAAGCAUUCCACCUCAUGAGUAAUUUGGCAACAUUGGAAUUGAAAUCAUUAGACCGUUUCUGAAACCAG